rnacentral:ncRNA from 2 species
UAAUAAGAGUCCUCGAUAGGUGCCGCCGCCCCAACCUUGGGUGCGGGGAGAAUAGGGAAGACGGUGCGAAUCCGUCGCGGGGCCGCCGCUGUAAUCGGCCAGGCCCUCGGACAAACUGAGCCACUGCCACAACGGCGGGAAGGCGGUCCGGGGCCACGAAGAGCCGUAAGCCAGAAGACCUGCCCGUCGAGAUUCUGUUCU